ensembl:lncRNA
CAAAGGCAUUUCUGAUGAAUUGGCAAUUUUUCUGCUUUUCUGUUGUCUGAUUUUGAGUCGUUACCAUACUCACCAGGUUCUCCAUAUUUAAACCCUCGCUGAGAUUUGGUCAGGCUUUUGGAGAGUGAAAAGGAAUUCUGCAGCCCUUUCCUCCACCUGCCCGGCCCUGGACAUUGGCUUCUGGAUCUGCCUCCCACCAGCCACCUUGGAGACACCAAGGCACUCUGCUCCUCUGGCCAAAGGAUGGUGCUGACAUAGAGACAGGAAAAAGGAAAGGAUGUUCCACCAGAAACUUGGCACAUAUGGUGACAUUUAAUUUUGGGUGAAGAUCAGAGACAAGAAUAUGUUUAAAACUGUUACAAAGUAAAGAGACAUUAUCUAGGCCACGUUCUAUGAGUUAUUUGCUGCCUACUUAGCAAAGGCGUAUUCUCAUUAAGAACAACAAAAUCCAUAGACCCAAAUUAUUUGAGAUAUCAGGGAAGAUAACAAAAUAGAUCAAUGAGGUACUUGCCAGCCUCACAGAAGAUAUAAGUAAUAAAAUAUUGGGCCAAAUAAAACGAUCAGCAAGUCCACAGAACAUAUUAUUAAAACCUAGAAGAACUAAACAAAAUAAUGCAAAACAUGCAUGACCAGCAUAGAAAAAAAUUAGAGUCCAUAAAAAGGUCCCAAAUAGAAAUUCAGGGGAUUGAAAAUGCUAUCAAAAACAUGGGCACCAGAAAUGACCAGUGUGAGAAGACAGUGUCAAAACUAGUAGACAGGGCUAUUGUCAGUGACCAGUUAAUUACAGACAGUGCAACAUGGGCAAUGUUCUCUUUGCUCCUAGAUGAUCCAAAGAAGACUAAUCUAAGAUUAAUCAGUAUCAGCAAACAAUCAGUAGAUAGCACAAAUGGCAUAAAAAUUCUAUUUACUAAAAUAAUAGCAGAAAACUUUCCAAAUAAGGAAAAUAAUGUAGCAUACAGAUAAAUGAAGAAUAUAGAACCCCAAAGAGCUACAUUCAGAAAAAAAUAGCCACAACAUAUUAUGGUCAAUAUCCCAGAUGUCCAACAUAAGAACAGAAUAUUAAAAGUAGAAAAAAGCAAUGAAUCACUUACAAAGGAAAACAAUCUCCAACUCAAGCUGAAACUAUCUUUCAAGAUUGAUGAAGAAAUAAACUUUCGUGAUAAAGAGCACCAAAAAAAUUCGUGACCACCAAACUGAUAUAGGAGAUAGGGGGUGGCAACACACUGGCUGGAGAAGUGGGCGAGAUCUGUCAAUUCCAAGUUCCCAGGACAUCACCAGGACCCAUACAUAGAACUUCUCACAGGUUCCCACAAGAUGUGGACCUCAUAAAAUAGAUGACAUGCUAUGAGGAGCCUGCUGUUGUGACUUUUCACAGUAGCCCACUGUGCAUCUCCUAGAUGCAGGGUGCACCUUUAUCUUUGCUUUUACCCUUUCUUUUGUUCUUCCCUUACCCCUGCA